rnacentral:miRNA from 1 species
GCGCAAUUCCCGAACGGGUAG